rnacentral:tRNA from 1 species
AAAUUUAGGUUAAAUAGACCAAGAGCCUUCAAAGCUCUAAGAAAGUAAAUACUACUUAAUUUCUG